AGAGUCAACGAAGUAAGGGUUGUCAAACCAUCAAUUGAUGAAGGCAGCUCUUUUAUAGCUGUUCCACUCAAAUAAAGCUCCUCGAGACCUUUGAGAUUCCCUAGGUUCUCCGGCAAGUUGUCAAAAUUUGAGCAUCUAGAAAGAUCAAGACGUUCUAGCAAUUUCAAACUACAAAUGGUGCUAGGAAGGCACACAAGAUUCUUACAAUCGUUAAGAGUCAACGAAGUAAGGGUUGUCAAACCAUCAAUUGAUGAAGGCAGCUCUUUUAUAGCUGUUCCACUCAAAUAAAGCUUCUUGAGACCUUUGAGAUUCCCUAGGUUCUCCGGCAAGUUGUCAAAAUUUGAGCAUCCCCAAAGAUCAAGACGUUCCAGCAAUUUCAAACUACAAAUGGUGCUAGGAAGGCACACAAGAUUCUUACAAUUUUGGAGAGCCAAUGAAGCAAGGGCUGUCAAACCAUCAAUUGAUGAAGGCAGCUCUUUUAUAGCUGUUUCACUCAAAUAAAGCUCCUUGAGACCUUUGAGAUUCCCUAGGUUCUCCGGCAAAUUGUCAAAAUUUGAGCAUCCAAAAAGAUCAAGACAUUCUAGCAAUUUCAAACUACAAAUGGUGCUAGGAAGGCACACAAGAUUCUCACAAUCUCGGAGAGUCAAUGAAGUAAGG